AUCCUUUUGUGGUUCAUAAGCCUGAUGAUUGGGUUUUCACGCUAUUGUGUGAGUUAACGACCCCUACCUCAACCCGUACCUCAAACCUUGUUAGGACUCAGCACAUUACCCCUCUGCGG
rnacentral:snoRNA from 1 species